UAUACCGGUUCUCGUUAGAUCACCGAAGUCAAGCAUCAUUGGGCGCGGUCAGUACUUGGGUGGGUGACCAUCUGGGAACACCGCGUGCCGUU